rnacentral:lncRNA from 1 species
UUAAGACUAAGAUAAACUGUUCUUUGUAUUAGAAUGAAAUUAAUUUAAGUCAGUGUAAUAUUGCUUAUCUAAUUUAUCAACUUAUUUGUCUAGUUGUGUUUUUGAUUAAUAAACAACUUAGUUAUUACUUUUGCAUAUAGUUCGCUUGGGAAGUAAUAUUUUAAACACAUUGAUUUUAUACGAAAAAAAUUCAAUAGACCCAUUAUGCUUUUCUUAUAGCAUAAUUAGUCUUCUAAAUGUCUAGAUCAGUCCACAGUGAAAAUAACGCUUCUUUUAAAUGAAUAAUUAAAUCCUAAACUAUGGAAACCUUUUAAUUUUAAACAAAACUAUUAUUCUUUUUUCUGAGCCAGUUUAUAUGUGGUUGUUUUUCAGAACUCCACCUCUGCUUCCUACUUACUUCUAGUGUGAUUUGGACUAAAAUUCUAAAUAAACUAUUUAAAGC